UACGAAGGGGGCUAGCGUUGCUCGGAAUGACUGGGCGUAAAGGGCGCGUAGGCGGCUCAUACAGUCAGGCGUGAAAUUCCUGGGCUCAACCUGGGGACUGCGCUUGAGACGUGUGGGCUUGAGUGGGGAAGAGGGUCGUGGAAUUCCCAGUGUAGAGGUGAAAUUCGUAGAUAUUGGGAAGAACACCGGUGGCGAAGGCGGCGACCUGGUCCUUGACUGACGCUGAGGCGCGAAAGCGUGGGGAGCAAACAGG
rnacentral:rRNA from 3 species